CGGAAAUAAAUAUAUGUAUAUAAGAAGUAUAUAUAUGUAUAAUCAAAAAAAUAUGUACAUGUUUCUAAAGCACAUUAAAUAGAAAUAUAUAUAUAUAACUCAAACAACCAAAAAUAUAUGUGUAUGUAUAUUAAAAACAAUCAUGACAGAAAGUAACAUAUGUUAAAAGACUAACGGCUGAGGGCGGUGUAGGUUAUUCGGUGCAGCUGGUAACCGGCGCAGGUUAUAGUUAUUAGAUCUAGGUAGAAAUGAGGAUAAUGUCAAGGUACCAUGUGUAAUGGAAUUUGUUUAUGGCUUUGGAUAAUGGUGAUGUGUUCAUGUUAAAGAAAAUGAUGGAAAUGUGGGGUAUGGAUCUUGUAGUAGUAUCGACUUCUGCCUAGAACAAAGCUCACUUUUAUAUUUAUUUUUACACUAAGAAAAGACCAUAGGGAUGCCAACUUUUUGGAGUGUUAUGUUAUUGAGAGAGGAUGAACUGAGAUGAGAGAAGCGCCGCUCAC
rnacentral:lncRNA from 1 species